rnacentral:rRNA from 1 species
UUCCGGUUGAUCCUGCCGGAGGUUACUGCUAUCGAGAUUCGACUAAGCCAUGCGAGUCGAAUGUUCUUCGUGAACAUGGCGGACUGCUCAGUAACACGUGGACAACCUACCCUUGGGUCUGGCAUAAUCCUGGGAAACUGGGUAUAAUUCCAGAUAGGUCACAGAUGCUGGAAUGCACUGUGGCCGAAAGCUCCGGCGCCCAAGGAUGGGUCUGCGGCCUAUCAGGGUUGUAGUGGGUGUAACGGACCUACUAGCCUACGACGGGUACGGGUUGUGAGAGCAAGAGCCCGGAGAUGGAUUCUGAGACACGAAUCCAGGCCCUACGGGGUGCAGCAGGCGCGAAAACUUUACAAUGCGGGAAACCGUGAUAAGGGAAUCUCGAGUGCCAGCAUAUAAUGUUGGCUGUCCAGAUGCCUAAAAAGCAUCUGUUAGCAAGGGCCGGGCAAGACCGGUGCCAGCCGCCGCGGUAACACCGGCGGCCCGAGUGGUAACCGCUUUUAUUGGGUCUAAAGGGUCUGUAGCCGGCCAAGUAAGUCCCUUGGGAAAUCUGGCAGCUUAACUGUCAGGCUGCUAGGGGAUACUGCUAGGCUUGGGACCGGGAGAGGUGAGAGGUACCUUGGGGGUAGGGGUGAAAUCUUGUGAUCCUCGGGGGACCACCAGUGGCGAAGGCGUCUCACCAGAACGGGUCCGACGGUAAGGGACGAAAGCUAGGGGCACGAACCGGAUUAGAUACCCGGGUAGUCCUAGCCGUAAACGAUGCUCGCUAGGUGUCAGUCACGGUGCGACCGUGAUUGGUGCCGUAGGGAAGCCGUGAAGCGAGCCACCUGGGAAGUAUGGCCGCAAGGCUGAAACUUAAAGGAAUUGGCGGGGGAGCACUACAACGGGUGGAGCCUGCGGUUUAAUUGGAGUCAACGCCGGGAAGGG